GCUGAGAAUCAGGCCUCCAGCUAGGAUUAGCCCGGCCGCGUCUAUAAAACCGAUACCGUGAGUUCGGGAGCGGCCAGUAUUAGAUCAACCGUGGAACCGUUCGGAGGUACUAAGGAAAAAGGAUCCCACUAGCAGAGCCGAGUGAGGGACUGAAGGGAAAGUGUGUGCUAGAGGAGAAAAGGACACCCGGAAGUGAGUUAAGCAGAGGACGAAUCACUGUUGGAAUUCGGUGGGGUGGGAACUGAAAUCACGUCGAGCGUGAGUGAGUGGUGAUUUCCUCCUUUCGGCGGGGAAGGGUUCGAUCUAACAUAGCGUUGGUUUUGGGGGCGGCAGUCGAUGGGUGGUAAUGUAGGCGCUUAGUGGCUUCCGAGUGCUUAGUACUGGUAGUGUAACGCAUCGCUGUGCGCGGUGAAAGAAAGUUGUUUUGGUGGGGGGUGGUUUUUAGUUAUCGUUUUGGGUUCAAGGAAGAAAGAUUUGGGCGCAAUAUUGGUGGCAUAAAUAUUUCGAUGCUUAUCGAAAAAUGAGGUUUCCCGUGUCACAGUUUUGCUGAUGAUGGAGGACGGAAGCAAUAGUUGUAGCAGCAACACCAGCAGUAGCAGCAGUAGUAGUACCAGCAGCACAAUUGGUGAUAGUGAUAAAUGCUCCGACGCUGGUUCUAGUUCCAGUGAAAAGGAUAUUGAAAGUGAAAAUGACAAGGAUAAUGAAGGCAGCCGACCGGACAGCAAUGUAACGGAGAAUGGAACGAAAAGAAAAUCUGGGACUACCAACAAUGGCAGUGGAAAUGAAGACGAUAAGGAGGUCAAAAAGGUGGCAGUUAAGACUAUCGAAGGCAAUAUGGGCCCUUUAACAGCGACGGUUAAAUUCAUAAAUCCCUUCAAAAACAACUGGAUCAAUGCGGAUCGACUGAAUGAGCUCAGGAAGAAGGUGCAGGAUGCUUCCAAACAUCAUCGAGUGUUUCUUGUGCGGGGUUCGUUCCACACAGUGCGACGAGCUUUGACCGAAAGGGGUUGGGUGGAGAAGUUAGACGGGUUUAGGGCUAAGCCACAGGCCAACACUUCUUCCUCGGGGUUUAUUUUGGAGGAUCUAGUACAACAGCUCCCAGAACGUAAGCCAGGCGAAUCACGUAAAAACCACAUUGCAAAAUGUGAGCGAAGUAUAAUGUCACGCUUCCUGGAGCAUACCCCAAUCGACCUUCUAUGGACGGCUCGCAGGGAGAAGGCCGAUUGGUUGGAUAUGACUAAAAAUUCUUCCCUGAUCAUCAACCGCUUCAGCAAGGCACCAUUCACAACAAAAGAAGGUCUAUGUUCCGCUCUGCAUGAUUUUCAUUGGUUCUACGAGGAAGGCAUGUCCGAGACCUACUUUCCUCGCUGCUACAACGUGUGGAAUCCAGAAGAGCUCAACGAGUUCAUAGACAACUUUCGUCUGACGUCUUCGAUGGGACUCCUCAAGUGGUUGGUGGAAACUCACGAUAAAAGAGGUAUCGAUGCCAUUCUGUCGGACGAGGGAAAAGUUCCAGGAUCGUGUAUAAACUUCGCACUCUCGCGCUGCAAGGAGUAUUUGGAUUAUUGUCUUCACAACGAUAUCGACGUUGAAGAGGACGUAAAAAUCUGGGACCACGAUUGGGACGUAUUUCUUACCCAUCAUUAUCUGCUGACCCACGAGGGCGGUACAAUCCAGCUAAUGAAGGAAGAAGAAGAUACGAAUGCAAUCGCAAAUUACGUUGCGGAAGCCAAGUCAGUCUUGGAGCAAAUCAAAAACCACUGGCCACAAUAUGCGCUCGAUGGGUACCUGAAUAUAUGGAUCGUUAAACCGGGAAACAAAUGCCGUGGACGGGGUAUCCAUUUGAUGAACAACAUCAAGCAGAUCAUUACCAUGGUGAAUCCACCGAUCGUCAGCAAAACUAGAUAUGUGAUACAAAAAUACAUAGAACGUCCUCUAAUCAUACACAACACAAAGUUCGACAUCCGUCAGUGGUUCAUGAUUACCAGCGUACAACCGUUGAUAAUAUGGUUCUACAAAGAGAGUUACCUCCGCUUUAGUUCGCAACAGUACAAUCUAAUGAACUACCACGAGUCCGUGCACUUGACCAAUCAUGCCAUCCAGAAAAAGUACCAUAACGCAGUGCGGGAUGAACGGCUUCCCCAUGAGAAUAUGUGGGACUGCCAUACGUUUCAGGCCUAUCUGCGACAGAUCGACAAGUACGAAAUGUGGUCAGAGCGAAUCUAUCCGGGAAUGCAGAAGGCAGUUAUUGGAUCACUGCUAGCCUGUCAAGAUAACAUGGACCGAAGGCCGAACACGUUUGAGCUGUAUGGUGCCGACUUCAUGAUUACGGAGGAUUUCUAUCCAUGGUUGAUCGAGAUUAACUCUAGUCCGGAUUUGGCACCCAGUACGAGUGUAACAGCGCGGCUUUGUCCGCAAUGCGUUGAGGACACUAUUAGAGUUGUAAUCGACCGACGUCAUGAUGUAAACGCAAGUACCGGAUCGUUCGAAAUGAUUUACAAACAAGUUAUCCCGAAAACGCCAGCCUAUAUGGGACUAAAUCUACAACUACGAGGUCAUCGUAUCACACCAAAAAGCACUGCCAAAAAGGAUCGCCUUCGCAUUCUACCCGUUAAACCUGUCCAAAAUGUCCUACAAGUUUCGAGACUUGCCGCUUCUGCUGUCCCAAAACCAACCACAGGUCCUGUGAUAAUGGAUCUGCUAGAGUGUCUUCAAUUCGAUACCAAAAUGCAGGAAGAGGAAGAACUCCGUGCACGAACUGCCAUCUACAGGAAAUCUGGAUUUUCCACCAGACCCAAUCUACGGUAUGAUUUCGCUCGUAAAAAGUCGUAUAUCAUAGCCAAAACUGGAGAAUUUUUUCGUAGAAACGGUGGACCGAAGUAUCUGACUGAGGGAGAAACGUAUAUUGACAAUAUCGAGGACUGGGAGCGCGCUACGACCAGCUUCUUUCAGAAUAAUUAUGCCAGCACCUUGAGCUCUCUAACAACCAAUAGAAACAACCCAUAUGGUUCAGGAGAUCUACAAACAUCACCCAACACUAGUAGUACCAAUCUGCGAUAUUCCUCGAAAGCUGCCUACGCUGCCAACUAUUGUGAUGAUUUCGAUAAUGCCAAUGUCGAAAAUAACACUGCCACAAGUGAGAAUCCUACCGGUUAUACUAGAUAUAGUAAACUAACAGCAAAUAGUAGCAACAAAACUGCGUUAUCUACGAAUUUCAAUAAUUUCUACACCCUUGGGCUAAGCCUUCGGAAGCAGACCACGCCCAGGAGUCCAAUGGCCACUCGAAUGAGCGCCAACUUCGUACAAUCAACCGAAGAUUUAAUUGAGUUAGGGAAGAAUUGUUAACUGAAAGAAAUUAUUCCUAAUCGAAAGCCACGUGUUCGUGAUUAAACACGACAUUCUAGUGCUUCGAAAUUUGUUGUUGUUCAAUUGAAAAUUGUUGAAUUGUAAAAAUUAAUAAGUGAUACUGUAGCAGAUGCAUUUAAAAACUAAACAUGUUGAUG